UACGUAGGAGGCGAGCGUUGUCCGGAAUUACUGGGUGUAAAGCGCGUGUAGGUGGCAGGCCAAGUCUGUGGUGAAAUCGCCCGGCUCAACUGGGCGGGGUCCAUGGAAACUGGUCAGCUGGAGGACGGUAGAGGCGAGUGGAAUUCCCGGUGUAGUGGUGAAAUGCGUAGAGAUCGGGAGGAACACCAGUGGCGAAGGCGGCUCGCUGGGCCGGUCCUGACACUGAGACGCGAAGGCGUGGGGAGCGAACGGG
rnacentral:rRNA from 1 species